CCUCGGGACGCAGCAGUGAGGAAUAUUGGUCAAUGGUCGGGAGACUGAACCAGCCAAGCCGCGUGAGGGAUGAAGGUACAGAGUAUCGUAAACCUCUUUUGUCAGGGAACAAAGGCGGGGACGCGUCCCCGGAUGAGUGUACCUGAAGAAAAAGCAUCGGCUAACUCCGUGCCAGCAGCCGCGGUAAUACGGAGGAUGCGAGCGUUAUCCGGAUUUACUGGGUUUAAAGGGUGCGCAGGCGGGCUGUUAAGUCAGCGGUCAAAGCCCGGGGCUCAACCCCGGCCCGCCGGUGAAACUGGCAGGCC
rnacentral:rRNA from 1 species